rnacentral:lncRNA from 1 species
GCAGUUUGAUCUCAGACUGCUGUGCUAGCAAUCAGCGAGACUCCAUGGGCGUAGGACCCUCGGAGCCAGGUGCGGGAUGUAAUCUCGUGGUGCGCCGUUUUUUAAGCCCGUCGGAAAAGCGCAAUAUUCGGGUGGGAGUGACCCGAUUUUCCAGGUAGAGACACUUUUGACUUGAUCUCUGCAGUCCUCAACAUGGUCGAAGUCUGAAAUCAAGUGUGAGCAGGGCCACAUGGGCCCAUUCUGAAGACCCGAAGGAGAGUCCCCCUUUCCCUCUUCCAGCGUCUGGCAGUCCUAGGCCUUCUUUGGUUGACGGCAGCCUCACUUCCAUCUGUGCCUGUGACUCACAUAGCCCUCUUCUCAAAGUCUCUGACUUUCUCUUCUCUUAAAAGAACACCUCGGCUGGGUGUGGUGGCACACGCCUGUAAUCCCAGCACUUUGGGAGCCCCAGGCAGGUGAUCUGCCUGCCUCGGCCUCCCAAAGUGCUAGGAUUAUAGGCAUGAGCCACAGCAUGGGGCCCAGUUUCAAUCUUUUACCAAUGAAAACCUGAACACAAAACAAUAAUUCUUAACCAAUCAUGAUGAAACACAGUAACUUUUUUUUUUAAUAAAAGGAAGAAGAAAGUGUUGAAAAUUGACAUCUAUGUUUACAUAUCACAGCAACACAAAGUGCCAGCAAAAAAAAAAAAAGUGGAAAAAUGAAAGUAUCUUGGCCCCAUGAGUUUUG